rnacentral:lncRNA from 1 species
UUUUAUUUUCCACAAACAAUUUCCCAUCCAAUAUAUACAAAUUUGUGCCAAAAUAACCAACAAGGGCCAAUUGUAGUUCAUGAACAUACUGUUACUCCGCAAAAACAUCCUCAGAUACUUGGUUUUUGAGCAUCUAAGCAUAAUACAUGAUAGUUGUCAUGUUGAAAUGACUAUUUUACCCCGCUCCUUCGGUCUACAAUGGUUCACCCAUUCUCAACAAGAUCAUGCAAUUCGGGUCGAAAAUAAACACACAGACAAUAGAUUGCGAUUCGUCAAAAGUUUAACAAUCCAUUCAAUAAACCAAAAGAUAUAUAUCAGUUGCUGUAUUUGCAAAAGACUCCCAGAGCAAACAGAGGAUUGAGUAUUCGGGGAAUUGCAGGGCUAGCUAAGAUCUUGAAGAAGUACGACAAGCGAACGGGACGACUACUGAGACUUCCUUUCAUAGAGAAGGUCUUGAAGCAGCCAUUCUUCAUGACCGAGCUCAUCUCGGAGCUUGUAAAAGAUUGCGAGAGCAUCGUGGAAGACGUUUUCCCUGCCAUAGAAGAGCAAGAGAACGCGGAGAGAGGGGGACGCGACGGGCUAGCAAUGGCGGAGCAGAGCAUACUAAGAAACACAGUCGCCGCACUCAUAACCAUGCAGGAAAUGAGAAAAGGAAGCUCCACUCAUGGUGAAUUCUCCCUGCCCCCUUUGAUCUUACCUGAUUCGGAAAUUUUGCAGUGGUUGCAGGUUCAAUCUUCGUUUCCUAUCCAAUGAUAAGACAAUGUUAGCAAAGAGAGAGAAAGAGCGGUUAGGAUGUGGAAGGGACGGAUGUAUCGAACCGUAAUACACGAAUUGCAUGUUAUCAAUGGCUAUGGAAUAUAAAAAAGCAGCUGACUUUUACUCUAUUUGUCGGAUUAGAUAUUCUCAUUAAUUUAUGCCAUUAGUCCUAUGAUUUAUCUAUUGUUGAGGCUCCACAUCAUCUGCAGCAGCAAAAAGUAUAAAUAAUAAAGAUCAGUAACAUCAUAUAAUGAAACACAUUAAACCCGAGCCUUUACAUUAAUGUCUUUAUGUUAAAUGGAAGGAUAGUUGACUCGCAAAAAUCUAAAAUGUACUAAAGUAGAUGAGAAAAACAAAACUACAAUAUGAGCUCCUUCCGACAAUAUUUCUACUGACCCAGUUUGCAGGGUUUUAAAUUGAGGUUCCUGUGCUUGCUUGCUCAAACUAUUUACAUCAUGACCUUAGGGCAUAGCUUUGGAAAAUAGUAAUGUAUAAAAGAUUGAACUAAAGUAGGUGUAGAAGUAUGCCAAUGAACUAAAAAUGUUAUCCCUGGUAUAAACAAGGGAUGUGUAUUCAAAGCCGCAUUUAUAUUCCCAUGGACUUUUCCCUCAUUCUUUUCUCAAAAUUUCUUUUUUUAUUUUUUUCUUGAUGUGCUAGUGAGUCUCAGUGUCAAAGCAAUAUAUUGUUGGCAUACCUGAUUUAUACAGAUAAAGACUUGGCGGCGCAAGCUAUAGUUCACGCAAAAAACAUGCAACAUGCAUAAAGGACACUAGGCCCCACCAUCGACCAUCCUGAGAAACCAUUGUAAGUAUAUUUUUCUUUAAAAUAUCUAAAUAUAGCUAGUAAGUGAAAAAGAUUGUUUCCGACGACGGAAACCCUUGUAAACCAAAAUAAAUACAUAUAAUGGCAACAUUAUAUUUAAAAUAUCUAAAUAUAGCUAGUAAGUGAAAAACAUCGAUGGAAACAUUCAUCGAUGAUAUAGUUUCUCUCUAGUAAACCAAAAUAAAUACAUAUAAUGGCAAACGGAACAUAAGGUAAUAAAACUACCAUGAUUCAAAAGGUAAAAAAAAAAAAAAUCUAUUUUUUAUUCUAAAAAUAUGUUGCCGAAUGUGUCAUACAUACUGAGAGUGUAAUAUACUCGGCACAGAGCUGAACGAACAUAGUAUCGAUAAUUAUUUUAAUGUACUCUCUAACUAUAUCUACUUUAACGCUUGUAGAAUUAUAUAACUGCAAACCAAACAAGAGUACAAACCAAUUCUCAUGAUCCUUAGAACAAGAAGUUACUGACAAAACACGAACUUUUGCACAUAAAAAUUUAAACAGGAAACUGAAAAUUCGACCUGAACUACUCAAGUAGCUAAACUUCUAUUGAUCACCAUAUUUGUGUGAGUUCUCCUAGACAUACAGCAGGGUAAGGAGGUGAAUGGGAGACAUUAGCUGGACCCACAUAAUUCAUAUUUUGAAGCAAAAUUACAUGUCAUAUUUUGAAGUUCUAUCUGACAAAAGUACCAUAGUAGCCAAAUCAUUGAUUAAUGCUUACCAGGUCAGGAUCAAACUAAUAACCAUGCCCUUUCCCAAAAGCAAGAAUACAUAAUCUGCAGUUAAUAUGCAUAGACUGGAACAGGUUGGGUUAGUGUCACGAUUGACAUCUGAAAUACCGAAUACCAACAUACUUAUUGGUAUGCAUAUUUUACCAGUUUAGCAUAGAUGGUCACAUGGGAUCGUCAUGUUCUUUUUUCCAAGGAUAUGCCAUCUAGGUACAAGUUAAUGUUCAAUUAUGUAUCCCCGCAUCAAAAAGAAUAUUCCUGCAACACGAGACUCGACAUGGGGUACUUGUAUUCAAACCAAAGAUUUCUUGCUUGUUCCCGCCAAGCUAGAGUUUGCUUCCGACAUACCAUAUGUAUUUUAAUGAUUAAUGAGAUUCACCAAAGCUGAGGACAAACAAGUUGAAAGAAUAUAUAUAUAUAUAUAUAUAUAUAUAUAUAUUAGAAGAAAGAAAGAAAAGACGGCAUGAUCACUAAGACUACAAUUGCCACUCUUAGGAGCCAAGAUGAUCGCGACUAUCGAAUCAAUGCCUACAAGUAGACGCAUCUAGCAAAAGGGUAGGGUCAUUACAGAUAGAAUUUAACAAGUGAGCAAAUCCUGUAUACAAUACACAGAUUAUUCGGCGAAACAGAAAAGCGCAGAGCAUAUUUUUAUCUUCAAAGAACUGAUUCUGUUCUCGAGCGCAGUGGACAAAUUGGUCACUGUCUAGCUUUGCAUCCGCCAACGUCAGUAUGAGAUAGUUACAUGAAGAUGUGGCGUUUUCUACAUUAGUAUUCAUAAACCUAUUAAAAAAAAAUAGGCGUUACCCCAGGAUAGCAGCAUAAGCAGAACCAUCUUCCAUAGAAACUUGUGAUAGGUCAACAACUUAAACUUGUGAUCGAGUUAAAUUAUAAGUUAGUCCCUUUGAUUUCAUGGAGAUGCCAACAUAGUCCCUAAACUCCUUUUAUUGCCAAAUCAAGCGAUCAUAUUUCAAUCCUUAGUGAUUAUAUCCCUAAUUCUAAAAUACUUCUAUUUUUUAAUGAAUCUGCUAAGAGUAUAGUACUGGGUGGCAUUGAUAGUAAAAAGCUAAUAUAACCAACAAAUUAAAAGUUCACUAAUGUGUAAUAACUUAUCAAGCUUACGGGGAAAAGAUACAGUAAGGAAAUAUUUUUUAGAUGAAAGGGAUGAAUUUGGUAAUUUAUAAGAAAUUAGGGGCGUAUUUGAUAAAAUAUUGAUCGAGCACACCGGAUUAGUAGUUCCAUAAAAGUUAAUGGACAAAACACUAGUUUGUCAUCACACGACGAUUGGCGCGCAUCUACAAAGCUAGUUGAGCAAUUUGAACAUGAUUAAUGACUAAGUACUUCUUAAGCUCCUCAUUUGGAAUGACAAAUCAAAUAAUGCAUUCACCCAAGCAAUUCUCUAAGAGAAAUGAAACAACAAUCAUCUAAUGAGGGUUUAAGGAUACGUAAAAAUCGAAGUAGGUUUCUACCUAAAUAAAGGGAGUGUAAGUCAUAGUGAAUAGGACAUGACAAGUGUCGCAAAGGAUGCGCUUCAAAUGCUACGCUAAACCAUUAAACGCUAAAAGGAACUUAUUCGAGUGUAGAUAAAAGCUUUGCGGAACAUGCUAGCGUCAGUAAAAUAAAUGAAGAAAGAGACGCAAAAGAGAAGGGUGAAAUAUAUCCUCAAAAAUGAGCAUAAAUUCAUGCAAAGAAACGACAUUGCGGGGAGGGAAUCUUACUAACAUCUUAACUUACGCUGAUCGACCUGCGUAAAUCGGAUGACUAAAUUUGCCUUCUGAUUAAAAUUCGCGUAACUACGCAAUACUUUAUGGUUCUUCUACUUUCACAAACUAGAUAACAAUGCACAUUUUUUUUUUUCGCAUGAAUAGUAAUCGACAAUGUAGCGGAUUGAUGAUUAGCAUGUUUCAUACGUAAUUCUAAAGACUAUAAAUUAGUAUAAAUUAUAUAUACCAAAAUUGCUAUUGAAUCCUUAUAAUUUUAAUGUAAUAGCUUUAGUUCAUGAACUUUUUUACAUACAUUGUACUCUAGUUUCUGACGUUAUAAAAAAGAUUUAUAAAAAAAAAAAAAAACUCGUGUUUACUUCAAAAUGCGAUUUUUAACCUACAAAAUAAAGAGGAUUAAGGUAGUGACUCGUAGCAAGAUGUAAAAUGAUUAUUUUCUGAGAAAAAAUUAGAUUUUUUUUUUCUCUUUUCAUGUUAAAAUGUUCAGGUAGAAAAUAGUGAAAUACUAAAAUACAGUGACCAAGUCGCAACACGGAGAGAGUUCAGGGACUAUGCAUAUAGAUUUUACCCUAUUCGUCGCGGUCGCAUGCGACCCCUUCGCGUCCAUCGCGCUACCAUUUUCUAAGAAGAACGCCGCACGCGUAGAGAUUAUGCGGUCGCUCGAGGUUGAAGACGACGAAGAAGUCGGCGACGAGGCUCCGAACGUUCGGCUUCGCUCUUCGAAGAGUCGGCGACGAAUUUAGGGCUUGCGAGUGAGUUAGAGGAGGUUGUUAGGGUUUUCAGGGGAAAGGGUC